rnacentral:lncRNA from 1 species
GAAUUUUUUAAAUAAACUCGGCUAUCACCGACAGUGUUUUUAAAAAUCGGGGGAAAAAUCCCUUUAAGUACAGUACGGUAUUAUUAUAUUUUAUGUAGAGUAAAAUUCUUCGUAAUAAUUUAAUCGGUAGAUGUCCAAAUGUUAAAAUUUUUACUUUGGUUUUGGUAAAUGGUGGAAAUAAUUUCUCCCAAGCCGGUUUGUACGGCCAGAUUAUCGUGACCAAUUUUGACCGUUCAACGUUCGUUAAUGACGCCGUCAUAAAGGAAUCUUCAUCGACCAACCGAUAAAACGAACGGACACCAGGGACGAUUUCCGAUAGGAGCUUAGAUGGGUAUGAUCCGACCGACUAGGAGGAUAAAAUAAGAAAGGUGGUAUUAACUUUAGUAAUGUGGCCAUCGGGAUGUUUAAAACCGGAUAAAAGAUCAGACUUUCUAAGUAACCCAACCGGACGGGACCGAGAACCAUCGGUCGGACCAUUAGCUGGCUUACGGAAUAGGAAAAUUUUUCGCGCCCCACACAAAUCGGCUACCGAAUAAUUUCGGUCCAAACUCGCUCUUUUAUUAAAUAUAAUUCAGGCGCGCCAUCUGACGGUGAUCGGCAUUUUUACCCAGAAGGCCGUGGGAACCGUGUCGCGGGAAACGGUCGGUACCAGCGCGGGCCGCUAUAGCCAGUCGGCCUUCCGCCUUUUAAGGCCAAUGCCAACCACCGCCGGAGAAUAAUUCGGCGGGUAGAAGGCCAAACACUCGUUUCUAUCCAACCACCGUCCAAAUAUAAAUUUACCAUUCCAGGAGAAAAUAGGCCAACGUACUUUGUGUCUGGCUAAGUUACGCCGGAAAACCGACAUUUAGAGAAAGUUGAGAAAACGCUCCGACCGGGCCGGAUGGUUCUUCGGCUGGUCGGAGAGUAGAAUCACCUGGCCCGGUCCGAUAGUUAAGAAUAGUUUUCCAAGCUGCACUCGGGAAUCGUUUUACUGGUGUGGUAGACUUCUCCGUUCGGACGGAUCCGAUAGAAGACGGACUGGUAAAGUGUCCGAAAGAUGGCGCCCGUCAUAAUUUUCUCGGUCCAACCGUAUCUCGGUUGGGUGGGAUUCGGCCCGAGUCGAUGUCGAGAUGGCCGAGACCCAGACUUUGAGGCAGGAUUUCUGUCGGUCCGACCAUUAAUCGGCGCGCUAGACCACGGAACAUAAAGGAACCGAGUCGGAUAGGCGGUAUUUUGUCCACCCGACCGGUGGCAAAUAUCUAAACGGUAGGGCCGAGAGGUAUGGAAAGUAAUGUCGGAAACUGGGUUAAGUUUUUAUCCGGAUAGUAUAGAACCGUACCGUUUCGGUUAGGUUAGUUAAGUGGCCAUACGGCGCACCUCACCAGCUCCGUAUCUUGUCGGAGAAUAAUUUGGCGAUUAGGGCUGAAACAAGGAGCCCAGCAAUAAACACCAUAUUUUAAUCCCGCUCGGGGUUAAAAUACGGUGUUUAUCUGUCGGUUAAGUAGUCGAAGUCGGGCCGAUAGUAAUUUUUAAAAGUAUCGAAAUCCGUCUGGAUUUACCUCUCCGAGAAUCUGCGGGUCGGAAGGCGCCCGGGCGUAAUUUUCUUUAACGCGAUACCGUGGGAUGGAAAUUUUCCGGGAUCCAGCUGGGUAAUAGGUUUAAAAGUAAAGUAAUGACCCAGCCAGAAUAGUCGGAAAGAACUCUUCUGAUGGAUUUGGAUAUAAAAGCUGGGUUAACCAUUAGUUAAUACAUUCUCCGGGAAGGGGGGCGCCGAAUCCCCGUCACCCGUCCACUAAACCGGGAAAUAAGGAAAUUUUAUCUCGGAGGAAGGACGACCGGCCUUAUUUAAUUAAGUGUCUACAGAUGGCGCUACCUUUAACUAUCACUACGACUAGCCGAGAUAUUGGGGCGAUCACUCCAACCGGUAGCCAGUAGAAUCCGGGCCGGUUAAUAGGAGACGGAAUAAAACGGCCGGAUGGGCCACCCUCCGUCCCACGGAGAAACCCAUCGAUUACUAAGCGUAUAGAAAACACAAUUUGGACGGAUGCGAGAGCGGGAGAAAAUCCGUUUCUCCGGCUGCCGCUCCAUCAGCCGUAGGGAAGAGGAAGGAAGGGUCGAAGUCCGAGGGGUCUCGGGCGGAGCCCCCUGGCCGGGCGAGGUCGACCGGUGGUCGAUGGAUCGACUAAUAAAAGUCGAAAUCGGAACGCGUCCAAGGUCACCGCCAACCGCUAAGCCGGCGCCUAUAUAAAGGCCAGCGGGACCGGCACCGGCGCUACCGUCGUCCGGAAAUGAACAGAUUGGUAGGUGACCAGCCGGAACUUUUCUUCUUCUUUUGGGUUGGUGACCGGCCCGACUGACUCUGAUCUUUGCUAGGUGAUCGUCUGGUUGCUGCUGGUCCUGAUGGAAGGCUCCCGGACCGAAUACGUGGGUUACUUGUCUUCCGACCGCUACUACGGAUACAAGAGAGUGGGCUACAACAGUCGCUACGGUACUCCCAACUAUAGCAUCCAACUGAGUGGCAACAAGGAGGCCGCUCCGCUUCCGUCCGCCUAUCCAGCCGCCGGCUCGGCCCGGGGCUUCUACAGUUACACCGACAUUCGCCACUGACCGCCGGGCUGGGCCGCUGUACGUUUACCGUCGGUCGACCCACCCGGGCCCGCUAAUCCCGCUGCCAUCCACCCGGUCGAUGUCGAGCCAUAGAAAUGUAAAAAUUGGGUGGAACGUCGGAUGGGACCGACAUCUUAUGUACUAAAGAAAAAAAUGCGGAAUUUGUUACGGAAUAAAGUGCCGCGGCGUAAUUAGGCUCAUCUGUAUAUUGUCUUUCAUUAUUAAUUCGUUAAAUCGUGCCAUAUUAAAUAUAACUCAGGUGAAAUAUGUUCGGAUAGAACAAAUUUUUUAUCCAUCGGUUUCUCUCAUUCUUUCGAUCCAACCGCGUUUCUCGCCUCCGCAUUCGGAGCUUAGCCACCGUUAAAACCGAGUUACAUCUAGCAGACAAUAAUACCUUUGGGUGGAGCGGAGCUCUAUCAAAAACCAAUUAAUAGGCAAAUUUUGAUUAAUGACUAUUAUGACAGUGGCCAAACUGCCACACGCGGCUCUUCGCUACCUUCGAUGUGGCUCCGUACCGGGACAGUCGAGUUAAUCCCUUCUGGCCGUGGUCUGUAAUAUGGACACACCACCAAUCGAAGUAGUCGGAUGCCGAGCCUAACCUGAUUUCGGGCGGUCGAAGUAACUUUAAAGCCCUGGCUAGCCACAGGGCCGGCUAUGGUAAGAAAGAAACGCUUUCCCACCGCCACGUUUUCUUAAUACCCGGUGAAAAUCGAUUUUUCCUUAAAAUUUAUCGGUGGUAAAUUAAAAAAUAUAUAUUUAUACGGCAUAUAUAUUAUUUAACAUAAAUAAUAACGCUUAACGCUUGUCUUUCCAUGACAGUAUCUGGGGUUAACGGCGCUUCUACUAUAUCAGUAUAUACUAUUUAAUCAUAAGCACCGAGUGGGAUUUUAUCUCGGCCGAUAAAUAUUCUUUGCCGGAGGACGGUCGAGCCUUCCCUUCCCGGACCGGUGGCAGUGGCCGCGGGCUCUAUUCCACCCGGCCCGUAUCGCCCGCUGAUAUUCGUAUGGGCGGCCGAAAACCGGUGACGGAAGCGCUUUGGCCUUUUCCCCCAUAAAUCGCCACUACCCCGGA